rnacentral:rRNA from 1 species
GCUUACGGCCACAACCGGCCUGAGUACGCUGAUCUCGUCCGAUCUCGGAAGCUAAGCAGGGUCGGCCUGGUUAGUACUGGAUGGGAGACCGCCUGGGAAUACCAGGUGCUGUAAGCU